rnacentral:rRNA from 1 species
GAUGAACGCUGGCGGCGUGCCUAAUACAUGCAAGUCGAGCGAACAGACGAGGAGCUUGCUCCUCUGACGUUAGCGGCGGACGGGUGAGUAACACGUGGAUAACCUACCUAUAAGACUGGGAUAACUUCGGGAAACCGGAGCUAAUACCGGAUAAUAUAUUGAACCGCAUGGUUCAAUAGUGAAAGACGGUUUUGCUGUCACUUAAAGAUGGAUCCGCGCCGCAUUAGCUAGUUGGUAAGGUAACGGCUUACCAAGGCGACGAUGCGUAGCCGACCUGAGAGCGUGAUCGGCCACACUGGAAAUGAGCCACGGCCCAGACUCCUACGGGAGGCAGCAGUAGGGAAUCUUCCGCAAUGGGCGAAAGCCUGACGGAGCAACGCCGCGUGAGUGAUGAAGGUCUUCGGAUCGUAAAACUCUGUUAUUAGGGAAGAACAAAUGUGUAAGUAACUAUGCACGUCUUGACGGUACCUAAUCAGAAAGCCACGGCUAACUACGUG